rnacentral:ncRNA from 1 species
AACUUGUUUUGGAUUAUUGGUUUAUCGUGUAGCAACGCUAUCCGGUAUGAAAAGGGAAUCCUGUUAAAAUCAGGAGCUGUACCCGCAGCUGUAAGUCCAUAAAUGUGUUUUUGAAAAUCUUUUGCCACUGUUCGCCAAUUGACGGAUGGGAAGGCUUCAGAAACAGGACAAGCCAGAAGACCUGCCAAAAUCAUUUUUAAUAA